rnacentral:ncRNA from 1 species
AUUUAUAAGAAUAUGAUGUUGGUUCAGAUUAAGCGCUAAAUAAGGACAUGACACAUGCGAAUCAUACGUUUAUUAUUGAUAAGAUAAUAAAUAUGUGGUGUAAACGUGAGUAAUUUUAUUAGGAAUUAAUGAACUAUAGAAUAAGCUAAAUACUUAAUAUAUUAUUAUAAAAAAAUAAUUUAUAUAAUAAAAAGGAUAUAUAUAUAAUAUAUAUUUAUCUAUAGUCAAGCCAAUAAUGGUUUAGGUAGUAGGUUUAUUAAGAGUUAAACCUAGCCAACGAUCCAUAAUCGAUAAUGAAAGUUAGAACGAUCACGUUGACUCUGAAAUAUAGUCAAUAUCUAUAAGAUACAGCAGUGAGGAAUAUUGGACAAUGAUCGAAAGAUUGAUCCAGUUACUUAUUAGGAUGAUAUAUAAAAAUAUUUUAUUUUAUUUAUAAAUAUUAAAUAUUUAUAAUAAUAAUAAUAAUAUAUAUAUAUAAAUUGAUUAAAAAUAAAAUCCAUAAAUAAUUAAAAUAAUGAUAUUAAUUACCAUAUAUAUUUUUAUAUGGAUAUAUAUAUUAAUAAUAAAAUUAAUUUAUUAUUAUUAAUAAUAUAUUUUAAUAGUCCUGACUAAUAUUUGUGCCAGCAGUCGCGGUAACACAAAGAGGGCGAGCGUUAAUCAUAAUGGUUUAAAGGAUCCGUAGAAUGAAUUAUAUAUUAUAAUUUAGAGUUAAUAAAAUAUAAUUAAAGAAUUAUAAUAGUAAAGAUGAAAUAAUAAUAAUAAUUAUAAGACUAAUAUAUGUGAAAAUAUUAAUUAAAUAUUAACUGACAUUGAGGGAUUAAAACUAGAGUAGCGAAACGGAUUCGAUACCCGUGUAGUUCUAGUAGUAAACUAUGAAUACAAUUAUUUAUAAUAUAUAUUAUAUAUAAAUAAUAAAUGAAAAUGAAAGUAUUCCACCUGAAGAGUACGUUAGCAAUAAUGAAACUCAAAACAAUAGACGGUUACAGACUUAAGCAGUGGAGCAUGUUAUUUAAUUCGAUAAUCCACGACUAACCUUACCAUAUUUUGAAUAUUAUAAUAAUUAUUAUAAUUAUUAUAUUACAGGCGUUACAUUGUUGUCUUUAGUUCGUGCUGCAAAGUUUUAGAUUAAGUUCAUAAACGAACAAAACUCCAUAUAUAUAAUUUUAAUUAUAUAUAAUUUUAUAUUAUUUAUUAAUAUAAAGAAAGGAAUUAAGACAAAUCAUAAUGAUCCUUAUAAUAUGGGUAAUAGACGUGCUAUAAUAAAAUGAUAAUAAAAUUAUAUAAAAUAUAUUUAAUUAUAUUUAAUUAAUAAUAUAAAACAUUUUAAUUUUUAAUAUAUUUUUUUAUUAUAUAUUAAUAUGAAUUAUAAUCUGAAAUUCGAUUAUAUGAAAAAAGAAUUGCUAGUAAUACGUAAAUUAGUAUGUUACGGUGAAUAUUCUAACUGUUUCGCACUAAUCACUCAUCACGCGUUGAAACAUAUUAUUAUCUUAUUAUUUAUAUAAUAUUUUUUAAUAAUUAUUAAUAUUAUUAAUUUUUAUUUAUUUAUAUCAGAAAUAAUAUGAAUUAAUGCGAAGUUGAAAUACAGUUACCGUAGGGGAACCUGCGGUGGGCUUAUAAAUAUC